rnacentral:rRNA from 1 species
AGAUUGAACGCUGGCGGCAUGCUUUACACAUGCAAGUCGAGCGGCAGCGCGGGGGCAACCCUGGCGGCGAGCGGCGAACGGGUGAGGAAUACGUCGGAACGUACCCCGGAGUGGGGGAUAACGCCGCGAAAGCGGCGCUAAUACCGCAUAUGCUCUGAGGAGGAAAGUGGGGGACCAGCAAUGGCCUCACGCUCUGGGAGCGGCCGAUGUCCGAUUAGCUAGUUGGUGGGUAAUGGCCCACCAAGGCGACGAUCGGUAGCUGGUCUGAGAGGAUGAUCAGCCACACUGGGACUGAGACACGGGCCCAGACUCCUACCGGGAGGCAGCAGUGGGGAAUUUUGGACAAUGGGGGCAACCCGUGAUCCAGCCAUGCCGCGGUGCGGGAAGAACGGCUUCGGUUGUAAACCGUCUUUAGUCGGAAGAAAGGUGAUACCUAAUAA